UCUUCCUAUCUCGGAAAUUGUCCAAGGAGGAGCCACUCAGCAGUGGACCUGAAGAGGCUGCUGCCAGCAAGAGCAGCAGCUC